rnacentral:rRNA from 1 species
CAGCCGCCACGGUAAUACGUAGGUGGCAAGCGUUGUCCGGAAUUAUCGGGCGUAAAGGGCUCGCAGGCGGUUUCUUAAGUCUGAUGUGAAAGCCCCCGGCUCAACCGGGGAGGGUCAUUGGAAACUGGGAAACUUGAGUGCAGAAGAGGAGAGUGGAAUUCCACGUGUAGCGGUGAAAUGCGUAGAGAUGUGGAGGAACACCAGUGGCGAAGGCGACUCUCUGGUCUGUAACUGACGCUGAGGAGCGAAAGCGUGGGGAGCGAACAGGAUUAGAUACCCCUGUAGUCCCUGUCUCUUAUAA